rnacentral:lncRNA from 1 species
AUUAGGGCCAGUCUGGGUCGCUAGUGUAGGGAAUUACUUGGUGGGGGUUUUAUUCCUGUUAUGAUUCCGUGUUCCGUGUUCCAUGUUUUAUUACGAAUCUGUGUGCUUUCCUCUGCCUUCCUCUGCUUUCCUCUGUUUUAUAAUACUUAUGGGUGCCGUAUUUAUGUUAUGUAAUCUGCUUCUGUGCUUUACUAUGUGUUUGUGUGGUAUCUCGUGCCUUGAGCUGGGGGUCUUUCGGAAACAGCCUUUCUACUUCAUCAGAGGUAGAGGUAUGGACUGCGUACAUCUUACCCCCCCAGACCCCACUAGGUGGGAAUACACUGGGUUUGUUGUUGUUGUUGUUGUUGUUGUCUACUUCACAACAUAUUAAUGCUUUCAGUAAGUGAUGAUACAGUAGUUUUGAUAACUGAAGCUGAGCUUAAAAGAAAGUAUAUCAGUUAUGAACCUUUCAAGAAAGACAACCCCAUCUAAUCAAUGUAAGAAUAACCUGGAUUGACCAUUAAGAGAUUACCUGCAUCCUCUUUUCUUGAAAAUUCUUCCCGGUAAUUUUAUCUUUCGAAGAGCCAGGUUGCUGCAAAAAAAGGGGAAAACUCAAAAUCUGCAUGCAUGAAAUGGUCCACAAUGUAAAUAUUUACUUAUUUCAAUGAUCAGAUGAAAGUGAAGCAAAGAGGAAGAAUGAGAUGGAAAUCAUGUCAAAGCAACCAAUAACAGUUGCAUUCAUUAUUACAAAUGUCCAUUUUCUUUGACAAAAGGAGCUACAUGGGAACACCAGUGCCAUGCGAAAGAAGAAUCAUCAUAUCUAGGCAAAAGACAUACACCUAAAGACAUAAAAAUCCACCAAAUGGAGUGGACACAACAUGUUUAUCACUAUCACUUAUCAAAUACAGCAUGUGAAUCACUCCUACUCAAUUGCCGAAACCAUAGAUGGAAGAUCAAAAGAAGGAUUAGUUCAGCCCGACCGAGAAGAAUCAUGCAGUCAGUCAAGGUUAGCAGCACACUACUAUGUGUCUAAACCAUGAUACCAAAAGGAUAGGUAUGGAACUUAAGAAGUCAGACAUUUUAGCAUCCACACUAGCCAAAAUUAGACCCAACUAUCAUCAAACAGUUAAAAACAACACUGUCAAAUGGAUAAAUGAAUCACAUUAACUGCGAGUUCAUUAACAGUAAAGGCAUCAACAUUCUAACCCGAAAAGGGCAUGGCAUGAGUAUCCCAAAGAGAUCAUCUCGAACAUCACUGAAAUCCAUAGAAUACAUUGCAUUUUUGAGUCCAUGAGAAGCCAAAUACUCUUCAGAUUGCUUAGCCAGGUGAUAGCCUUUAUAAACACUUAUAGCUGGUUCACCAACCUGAAAAAUCAGAAAACAGAUACCUUUCAAUACUAUUACCUGUACUCAAUCAAUCAAGCUUCAACCUUUACACAAAAGGUAAAGUAAACAUACAGAAGAUCGUAGCAGCGCCUGUAAAUCACUCAGAUUCUUAUAGACCGCGAUCACAUCCCCUUUACGGACAACAUAAAAAGCAUCCUUUUCGUCCCCCAUCUAUGUUUCAAAUUCCUCAAGUUACUCCACCACUGUAUCAACACAAGCAAAGAGUAUAUUACCUACAGAAAAACAAAUACAAUUCCAAAUUCUACUCCAAACAACUCAAUUCCGCUCACUGAACAAAUUUACAGACUACAUAUUACCCUUGCAUGUAUGAUCAGUGUACUUAAUACAGUACAAAUGAUACUCAAUUACUAUAUAAUUUAGGGCUUUUUUUGUAUUUUUUUUUUUAGUUAAAAACCGUAUUUUAGGCACGAAAUAAAAGAAUUAGGGUUUCCGAGAACGUGUAGAAAAGAGAAAGAAAUACAAUUCUUACCGACUAGAGGAGGAGGAGAGACAAGUGUAACGGAGUUUCUGUCAGUUUCGUUAGUCCCGACUAACCUGUCAGCUGGUUUUCACCCGACCCGAAAAUGCAUGUUUGGGCUGCUUCGCGGGAUUUGGGGCACGUGUCUUUCCGGUCCAAUAAAUAAAUAUUAGAGCGUUUUACUUCACACAAAUUUAUGGAGAAAAUAAAAAAAAAAAUUGGAAUUUAAUGCUUAGAAAUUAGGGAUAAAAAUGUAAUUUUGAAAGCCUCUCUCAUAAGUCAAAAUUUAAUGUUUAAUUAUAUAGCAUGUCAUUCGGAGAAUUGUUAUUUACAUACAGCCUUUCCUAUACAGUUGUGUUAAACUUGAGCAGACACAUUUAAUUACACUUAGUUAAUUAGGUGGAACUCAACAUCAUACUAAACAAGUAGAUUUUACUCGUUUAUAAUGUUCAAUUGGAAAAGCUUCCCCAUCAAAAGAAAAAUUAUUUAAAUAAUGUUUCAAAAUAUAGUGAUUGCUUUCAUAUACGCAUACUUAUAAUUUUCUGUGAUUUAAUGUCCAAUAGGGUAAUAAUGUGCCAGUGGGACAUAGAGUAGCUGUGUAAUUGUGAUGCUUAUCUUAGUUCAUAGUGAAGCAGCAGACUCAAAACUCACUUGUAAGCCAACUAAUUUUAACUUGUCAUACUGGACAACAGUACAAGUUACGCAGAGGUUUCAAUGUGCUAGAACACUACUUUAAAGGAAGAAACCUGCCACUUGUCCCCCAACCAAUUUUCUUUGCAAAUCAGGUUACAGCAAAAGCUACUCCAAUCUGGAUACAUAAUUAGGUUGAAUGCACAUAAUUCAGAUCAUAUAUCUACAUGUUACAAGACAUGGUUUUAGACCACUGAAAAACCAUUGCAUCGUCUGUCUAGAGGGGUCAUUCAUCCUUCCAAAAAUCUCAACAAGUUGAGGUAGUUGGUCAACAUUAUUAAGUUAUCAUGUCACAUUCCACUUGAAUUUCGCCAUCUGCAAGAAAAGUAAAAGUUUCUCGUCAGAUUUCUUACAGGAAAAGAUAAUUUAUUUAAGCACAAGAGAAAGACCCUUACUCUUGAGAUAAACAGCUAAAUUUGCCUGCGCAUCGGCUUCAGUGUUGGAUUCCUGAUAUGUUAAACAAGUAAAGCCCUCGGAAUCGGAUGAAAAGAUAGCUUUUAAUGACUUAGAAGAAAGGAACAAUUAUUUGUAUAGUAAAUAUGUAGCAAGUAAAAUCCUGAACUCUUCAUGAAGAGGAAUGCAGAACAAAGUGAAAAUGAUAGACUGGGGAAACAUAAUUAUUCACUUCUAGCAACAAGGUGAUAAUGCCAAUUUCAUGGAGCUCAUAAGCAAGAAAGAGAAACUCUAUAUUGCAUAAAUUAAACAUGAAAUUCAAGCUCCCGUUUGGUCACAGGGGAGAAAUACACACAUAAUUCCAUUUUUAUCACAAAAAUAACAUGCAGAUGCAAAGAUAUAGUGACUUAGAAAAUCUAAAUUCUGAUAGAGAAGCUCAGUAAGCUCUGAAUUAGCAAAUGGGAGAAGUUGGCCAUACUCUGUCCAUAUGGUUGAUUUGGAAUGACAUAAACUGAUCUUUAAGCUCUUUGACAAUCUUGGAUAGCUCAGCCAUAUUCUGGUUCUUACAUUUCCAGAUUCCUUGAGUCUGUUCCAUGAUAGAAAUUAGUAAAGAAUGAGGGAUCGGCCCAGAAGCACUUCCAGCAAAAACUUACACUAAAUGCAAUAUAAUAAAAUAGCACUGCAAGAGCACAUAUGAUCUCCGCAAAAGAUCACAUAAGUUGCAAGGGGAAGAAUAGCUUCACUUUUGAACUGAUUUAGGUGUCUCUUAGGAUGGAGUGGGUGAGGUAUCAUCAUGAAGACAAUCUUAUACCGACCCAUUAUUUCUAUAGAAGUAGGUAGCCUGAAUAUGUCUCAAAUCUGUAGUCUUUAUACUCAAUCCUAAACCUGUCCUGUAAAAUGUCUUAGGUAUUCUGCAACAAUCAAAUAAAAACCAAAAUACAAGAUACGCAAAAUUAAGUUUCUUAAAAUAAUUGUUAACCUACACCUUUAUUCUCCGGCAUUCAAAUUGGGAUGUUGAGAAGCAAGAUCGCAACAAUGUGGAGAGCCAUAUUGCUCGCUUGCUGCUGCUCAUCUUCUACGCCACAGCAUCUAUUUAGUUACAUUCAGGCAAUUGAUCUAUUCUUUUUCUUUUAAUUACUUUUUAAUAUCUUUUAAGGUUGUUUCCAAUGCUUUACCACUUUCCUAAUGAACAAAGAGGCCGUCCACCGUACGAACCUUCAUUUAGUUUGUACCUAAUGUAACUGCCAGCUUCCUCUUCUUUUCAUCAUUCUCUUUCCAUGUACAUUGCUUUAAUUUAGAUGCCAGACUACAUCUCAUUUUGGUACUUGUACAUAUAUUAAAUUAUGGUCUAUAGUCUAGAAUGCCUAUUACUUUGUGCACAAUUUCCACUUCUAAUUUAAUUUUGAUGCUUUUUUCUCGUGUUAUAUAUGAUCAUAUUCAUGGAUGCUGCAAUGAUAAAAGUGGUGUCACAAGCAUGAGCAUUGAAAUACUACUUUUUUUCUAUUUGUCAAAUUUCAAAUGGGCUUAAUUUUGAGCUCAACCAUCAAGUCUCUUACAAAGUGUCACAUUCAUGAAUCUUUUACUGAAUUAAUUUUUCUUUUGUUACUCAAAAACAAUAACAAGAUACCCAGUGUAAUCCCACAAGUAGAGUCUAGAAAGGGUAGAGUGUACGCAAACCUUACCCCUACCUUGUGGAGGUAGAGAGGUUGUUUCAGAAAUACAAGAUAGAUUUGGAUGCUAUCUUUUGUUACUCCACCAUUUUUCAAUAAUUUUAUGUGAUUAUGCAAAAUCUUAUUCUAGAUUUUGUGGAGGCAAACUCUUGAGUCUAAAGGGUUCAGGGUGAGCAGAAGCAAGACAGAGUAUGUGGAAUGCAAGUUUAAUGACGUGAGGCAGGAGAAUGAGGUAGUAGUGAAGCUGGAAUCACAGGAGGUAUGUAAGAGGGAUAGUUUCAAGUAUCUCGGGUCCGUGAUCUAGAGUAACGGUGAGAUUGACGAGGAUGUCUCGCACCGUAUUGGGGCGGGAUGGAUGAAGUGGAAGCUCGCGUCGGGGGUGUUGUGUGAUAAGAAGGUGCCGCCCAAGCUGAAAGGCAAAUUCUACAGGGUGGUAGUCCGUCCGGCCAUGUUGUAUGGAGCGUUGGCCAGUUAAGAACUCCCACAUCCAAAAAAUGAAGGUGGCAGAAAUGCGGAUGUUGCGCUGGAUGUGUGGGCUGACCAGAGGGAUGCGGGAAUCCCGAUUGAGAUGGUUCGGACACGUGAAGAGGAGGGGCAUCCGGUUCGUAGGUGUGAGAGGCUAGCGUUGGAUGGUUUUAGGCGGGGGAGGGGUAGGCCGAAGAAGUACUGGGGUGAGGUGAUUAGGCGGGACAUGGAGCAGUUACAGCUCACCGAGGACAUGACCCUAGAUAGGAAGGUCUGGAGGACGCGAAUUAGGGCAGAAGACUAGGGCCGGUUUGGGUCGCUAGUAUAGGGAAUUACUUGGUGGGGGUUUUAUUCUUGUUAUGAUUCCGUGUUCCAUGUUUUAUUACGAAUCUGUGUGCUUUCCUCGGUUUUCUAAUACUUAUGGGUGCCGUAUUUAUGUUAUGUAAUCUAGUUCUGUGCUGUACUAUGAGUUUGUGUGGUAUCUCGUGACUUGAGCCGGGGGUCUAUCGGAAACAGCCUUUCUACUUCUUUAGAGGUAGAGGUAUGGACUGCGUACAUCUUACCCCCCCAGACCCCACUAGGUGGGAAUACACUGGGUUUGUUGUUGUUGUUGUUGUUAUUCUAGAUAAUUUGAGAUACACGUGCAACACGUGUCCAAAACUAAUUAGUUAAAAACAGUGUCCCAUUAUUUGGAAUAGUUGGUGCAGAGGGUUUAAUGAGUACGUUUCUGAAACUCUCAAUGGCUAGCACAUCAUGUGAAAAAGCUAUUCCACAAUUGCUUUAGAACUCAGUGGCUUCAACAAAUUAGCAAAGAUAAAUUUGACAGGAUAUUUAAAGUGAGAAGGCGGAAAAUUUGACAAAUUUGCUAAAGGGAAAAUGAAAAUAAAACAAAAACAAAAAAGCAGA